AGAGCGAACGCUGGCGGCGUGCUUAACACAUGCAAGUCGAGUGCGCGCCUGUAGCAAUACAGGUGGCGCACGGCGCACGGGUGCGUAACACGUGGGUAAUCUGCCCUUCGAAGGGGAAUAACUCGCCGAAAGGCGAGCUAAUUCCGCAUAACAUUCCGAGAACUUCCGUUUUCGGAUUCAAAGGCGUAAGUCGUCGGAGGAGGAGCCCGCGCACGAUUAGCUAGUUGGUGAGGUAAUGGCUCACCAAGGCUAUGAUCGUUAGCUGGU
rnacentral:rRNA from 1 species